UGAAAAAAUAAAUAUGAACACCAAUAAAAAUGAUAUAACACAUGCUUUACGUGUAGCAAAAACAUGCAAUGCUUUUUACAUAAAAACAUUAGAUAUAUAUGGUAUUGUAAAUGAAUACGCAAAUAAAGUUGCACUUUAUUCUAACUACUACUUGAAGAAUGUAAUGAAACAAGAUGGGAGAAAUGUCGAGUGUGUUGUUUCUGUUAAUCAUGAUUAUAGUGACCUCAACAUAAAUGGUAACAUAAGUAAUGUUAGUGUUGAUGGAAAUGGUAGCAAAGUUACUCGUACUAACACACAAAAAAUGACAAACGUUGAUAAACUUAAAAAUAAUUAUACGUCAUUUUCUUUUGAUGGGAAGGAUGGUAACCGAGAUGGUAACCGAGAUGGUAACCGAGAUGGUAACCGAGAUGACAAGCGAGAUGGUAACCGAGAUGACAAGCGAAGUGGCAGCAUUGCUACUAACGAUGCAUCUAAUUGGAAUAACAGCCUAAUUAGUAACAAAAAUAAUGAAAAUGUCUUACCUUUAAAUAAAAACGAUUUUAUGAAGUUACAUAAAACAAGUAUGAACUCUGUAGUGAAUACAUUUAAAUCCUUUUGGGGUCUUCAAAGUAGCAAAAAGAAUACACAUUUACAGUUGUUAAAAGAAUCCGUAAUAUUAUCAAAUACAUGUGUUCAAAACAAUAUAAAUAAUAUUACUACUAAUGCUACUACUAAUACUAAUACUAAUACUACUACUAAUGCUGCUUCUACUUCUGUUAUAAUUACUGACAAUGUAAACACAAACUUGAUUAAAAAAUAUAGUAGUGAAUUAGGAAAGGGACUACAUGUUAUACAUGAACAAACAAUAAAAGGUAAUGUACCAAUUACUUAUAUGCUUAUGGGAUCUACAAAUAAUAAACUAAGUUAUACAAUAUUAGCUAUUGGUUGUAAGGAUGGGGAUGUUUACAUAUAUAAAUGUUUUAAAACUUCAUUUGAAGAAGCAUCAGCAACUGGUACUACUACAUCUACUAAUAAUAAUACUAUGGAUAGUGGUGGUAAUGGUAGUAAUGGUGGUAAUGGUGGUAAUAGUGGUAAUAGUGGUAGUGGUGGUAAUAGUGGUAGUGGUGGUAAUAGUGGUAAUAGUGGUAGUGACCUUGUUAAUGUUACUGAUGGUAUUAUCAAACAAAAUGAAACAAAGUCAAUAGAAGAUAACACUAACGCCAGCAUAAAAUUAUUAACUAAAUUAUGCGGACAUAAAAAAGCAAUUACUUGUUUAGUUUUUACAAUUAAUGAAAAUAAAAUAAUAUCAACAUCAAUAGACAGAACUAUAAGAAUAUGGGAAGUAGCAACAGGGUGUUUGUUGAAAGUAUUUUCAGAUUCUGCAGCAACAUUAUCUGUAUUAUUAUUUUAUAAUAAUGUUGACAUUUUUUUAUGUUCUAACUGUACAUGCUUAUUACGAACAGUAAAUUUAAACACAG
rnacentral:lncRNA from 1 species